rnacentral:rRNA from 1 species
GCAGUAGCCACGGGAAUACGAAGGGGGCUAGCGUUGUUCGGAUUUACUGGGCGUAAAGGGCGCGUAGGCGGACUGAUAAGUCAGGGGUGAAAUCCCAAGGCUCAACCUUGGAACUGCCUUUGAUACCGUUUGUCUUGAGUUCGAGAGAGGUAAGUGGAACUGCGAGUGUAGAGGUGAAAUUCGUAGAUAUUCGCAAGAACACCAGUGGCGAAGGCGGCUCACUGGACUGGUAUUGACGCUGAGGUGCGAAAGCGUGGGGAGCAAACAGGAUUAGAUACCCCUGUAGUCCCUGUCUCUUAUAC